ensembl:lncRNA
CGGAGACGGAGACAGACAGAGACAGAGAGAGAGAGACAGAGAGAGAGAGAGAGAGAGAGACAGAAAUGAGACAGAAAUGAGUAAAUGUGUGCAACAAAAACCCUAACUACUUAUCAAGAAACCUAUCUUUGAGGAGCAGUAGGGGUGAGGCCAUCUUGCUCUAUAUGGAAGACUACAGGUACAUUGUGGACACUGGGAAUCAAACCAGUACCUUUAAGCUGGGAGUCUAAAUCCCCAACUGCUGUCCUAAUAUCCAAAGCAGGGCCUUGCGUGACAUAUUGCGAACAUAUCCCUUAAGCUGAAAAAAGCAAACCAUUCUGAAGGAAAGAGAGCAGAGAGAAACAGAACAGAGGAAACCUUCACUGUAGCCCUGGGGGGUAAACAGAGCUGGGUCCAGGAUGAAGGCGGCCAGUGUGUCUGCGUUUCAUGGGCAGUGCCCCCCACCCCCCCGUGAGGUGGACGACCCCCUCUGGAGGAAUACAAAGCAGCCGUUUGUCUAGGAUGUGCCGGGCUGUGUCACAACCAGCACACAGCUACACUAUACACUACUACUGCUUUACUUAAAGACACACCUAGCCGUGUGGACGUCCGUUAUCAAACGCUCUUCAUCUUCCAUGAUAAACGUGUGACGUGGCUAUUCUCACUGAAGAUCGCCAUAGUUGAAUCAUCACAAGAAGACAGAAAGCUUUCCUCUCAUCAGAGAUGUCCAGUAGGGGGAAAAUAAAAAAAAACAAACAGAAAACCAGGACAGUAAAGGAUUUUCCCCCCAAGAUUCAUCAUCAAAGACACUCCGUCAGCUGCCCUCCGAUCAGAAGCAAGGUGUGGUACAAAAACACUUUGUGGCGGGACACGUUUCCUUUAUCGCUGUACAAGUGAUUGGCAAUACAAUUUACUCUUGGGCCUCAGAUGCUGUGAUCCAACGUUUGUAUAAAUGCAUUUGAAUACAAUGACAAGAGUAUAAAUGUUUUUAUGCUUUCUGCAUUGUAUUUCAUAGGUGAAAUACCUUGCAUACACAUAAAUCCAUUUCAAUCCUAUUCCUACAUCACUUGUACCGUUUUGUAAUGUUCUACAAUGUUGAUUAACUAUUUACCUGAAGUAAUCCUUCUGUUGUGUAACAGUGUGCCCACGCUCCUGUCCUGAACAUUUCACUGCAGUGGAAAAUAAACCGGAUGUUUCUGGAGAUACUUCCAGCCUGGCUCUGGUUUCAUACAGACACCUCACUGCGUUUUUCAAAACAUGCCAUCCGACCCCCGUUGGAUAUGCUGAUGAACACGUGUGUAUUUGUGGCUGCGCUCUGUGAUGUAGAAAUCACCGGAGAACCAAAAGCCUAAAAACAACCCGGUGUUUGCUGGAUAUCAUGAAAUAAGACAUUGAUGACACAGCUGGAAUUUUUGGUCAAAGCACAAGGGGCCAGGCAUAGCGGACUCAGAAGAAGGCACAGAAACCCAACAGAACAUUCACGUGCACACGCAAAUGCAUUCACACACGGACACACAUGAACACAUACACACUCACAUGUGGACCUCUCUGUAGUUAGGAGCAGGGCGAUUCGUCUCUUCUCAGCAGCUCAGGAAUCUGAAGAGACAGUGCUGGGAUAUCUUCAAAGCUCCAGCCUCUGGAACCAGGACAGACCAUCUCUGUUUAAUCCAUGACUCACCACAGCACUAAUGCUGCAAUAUGCACUCUGUACACGUGUCUGUGUGUGUGUGUGUGUGUGUGUGUGUGUGUGUGUGUGUGUGUGUGUGUGU